rnacentral:rRNA from 1 species
GAUGAACGCUGGCGGCGUGCUUAACACAUGCAAGUCGAACGGUGAACGAGGGAGCUUGCUCCCUCCGGAUCAGUGGCGAACGGGUGAGUAACACGUGAGCAAUCUGCCCUGGACUCUGGGAUAAGCGUUGGAAACGACGUCUAAUACCGGAUACGAGGCGUGGGGGCAUCCCCAACGCCUGGAAAGAACUUCGGUCCAGGAUGAGCUCGCGGCCUAUCAGGUAGUUGGUGAGGUAACGGCUCACCAAGCCGACGACGGGUAGCCGGCCUGAGAGGGUGACCGGCCACACUGGGACUGAGACACGGCCCAGACUCCUACGGGAGGCGGCAGUGGGGAAUAUUGCACAAUGGGCGCAAGCCUGAUGCAGCAACGCCGCGUGAGGGACGACGGCCUUCGGGUUGUAAACCUCUUUCGGUGGGGACGAAGCGCAAGUGACGGUACCCACUAAAGAAGCACCGGCCAACUACGUGCCAGCCGCCGCAGUAAGAC